rnacentral:misc_RNA from 1 species
ACGGCCCGGUCAACGUGGUGGCACCCAGGGUCGUUGACAACCGGGAGUUCACCCGAACAUUGGGUCGCGUGCUCCGUCGUCCGACGAUCAUUCCGAUGCCAGCAUUCGCGGCGCGGCUGGUGUUCGGCGAAAUGGCGGACGCGUUGUUGUUGGCAAGCCAGCGCGUCGAACCAAUUCGGCUAACGACAAGCGGUUACGAAUUUCGGUUUCGGGAACUCGAACCUGCAUUGCGACAUCUGUUGGGCCGGUAGGCCCGAUUGCCGCCAUUCGCUCGUACAAGCUGGACUCCACAAGAGCCUCGACAAUUUUCGGCCAAUCCUGUUUAGUCCAAGGGUAUUGGGAGACUUUAUGGGGAGACACAUUCGACUCGUCGCAAUCUUCGCGUUGGUUUUGCUGCCUGCCAGUUUCGGAUUUUCACAGCAGUCAUUCGGUCGCGUGGACAUCCGUGCCUUGCGUCCCAGCAACACGGUAACCUUCAAGACCGCGGACACGAACGUCGCGAUCGGCUACGCAGCAUGGCGAAACGAGAAUCCGCGGGCGACCAUCGUCGCGCAAAAGCAGGUUACGACCAAUUGGUCUGAGGUUACUUUCCAGUUCUCGGUGGCCCAGAGCGAUCAGGUCACACUGAUCCUGCGGGGACGUUAUCGCGAGACAGAACCGACCGGCGAACUCAUCCCCGACUGGGUAUGGGUGGACAACGUCAGCCUCGUUGGGGCGAACAAAGAGCGCUUAUGCCAAAACGGCAGUUUCGAAAAGGUACACGGAUUUAUUGGCCGUCGGGAACGGGAUGGCCAGCCGGAGAAAUGGGGCUACAAGGGUAAAAACCGCGAGAUCAAGUUCGACGCCUCCU